CUGCUGCCUCCCGUAGGAGUUUGGGCCGUGUCUCAGUCCCAAUGUGGCCGUCCACCCUCUCAGGCCGGCUACUGAUCGUCGCUUUGGUAGGCCGUUACCCUGCCAACUGGCUAAUCAGACGCGGGUCCAUCGUAUGCCACCGGAGUUUUUCACACAAAAGCAUGCGCUCUCGUGCGCUUAUGCGGUGUUAGCACCUAUUUCUAAGUGUUAUCCCCCUGCAUACGGCAGGUUACCCACGCGUUACUCACCCGUCCG
rnacentral:rRNA from 1 species